CAAAAACAUAGCUUGUUGAAUUUUAUAGUAGGUAAAUUCUGCUCAAUGAUUUAUUUAAAUAGCCGCAGUACCUUGACUGUGCUAAGGUAGCAUAAUAAUUUGUCUUAUAAUUGAAGUCUAGAAUGAAUGGAAUUAUUUGGGUAAAAUCUAUCUAAGUUUAAUUAAAUUUAAUUUUUUUUAAUAAGUGAAAAUACUUAUAUAAUUAUGAAAGACGAGAAGACCCUAGAAAUUUUGAUUAAUUAUAAUGUAAUAAUUAUAAAUAUUUUUGUUGGGGCGACAGAAUUACAAAAUUAACUUAUUUUAUUAUUUUGUUAAUUUAAAAAAACCUUUUGAUUAAAUAUAAAUUACUCUAGGGAUAACAGCAUAAUUUAUUAAUAAGUUUGUGACCUCGAUGUUGGAUUAGGAAAAAUAUAUACU
rnacentral:rRNA from 1 species